rnacentral:rRNA from 1 species
GUCGAGAAUUUUUCACAAUGGGCGAAAGCCUGAUGGAGCGACGCCGCGUGGGGGAUGAAUGGCUUCGGCCCGUAAACCCCUGUCAUUCGCGGGCAAUGCUCCCUACCUAACACGUGGGGAGUUGAUAGUAGCGAAAGAGGAAGGGACGGCUAACUCUGUGCCAGCAGCCGCGGUAAUACAGAGGUCCCAAGCGUUGUUCGGAUUCACUGGGCGUAAAGGGUGCGUAGGUGGCGAGGUAAGUUUGUUGUGAAAUCCCCGAGCUCAACUCGGGAAUGGCAAUGAAUACUCUCUCGCUCGAGGGUCGGAGAGGAGACUGGAAUUCUCGGUGUAGCAGUGAAAUGCGUAGAUAUCGAGAGGAACACCAGUGGCGAAGGCGAGUCUCUGGACGAUUCCUGACGCUGAGGCACGAAAGCUAGGGGAGCAAACAGGAUUAGAAACCCCAGUAGUCC